rnacentral:rRNA from 1 species
GAUGAACGCUAGCGGCAGGCCUAAUACAUGCAAGUCGAGGGGUAGAAGAGGCUUGCUUCUUUGAGACCGGCGCACGGGUGCGUAACGCGUAUGCAACCUACCUUCAUCUGGGGGAUAGCCCGGAGAAAUCCGGAUUAAUACCGCAUAAAAUCACAGGAUGGCAUUAUCCAAUGAUCAAACAUUUAUGGGAUGGAGAUGGGCAUGCGUGUCAUUAGCUAGUUGGCGGGGUAACGGCCCACCAAGGCGACGAUGACUAGGGGAUCUGAGAGGAUGGCCCCCCACACUGGUACUGAGACACGGACCAGACUCCUACGGGAGGCAGCAGUAAGGAAUAUUGGUCAAUGGAGGCAACUCUGAACCAGCCCUGCCGCGUGCAGGAAGACUGCCCUAUGGGUUGUAAACUGCUUUUAUUCGGGAAUAAACCUUGUUACGUGUAAUAAGCUGAAUGUACCGAAGGAAUAAGGUUCGGCUAACUCCGUGCCAGCCGCCGCGGUAA